UGCGUGUGCGCGCAGGAAGGAAGGGCCCUUCCGGCGGGACGCCCGGGCCAAAACCUCGUUUGUCCCGCUGCCUUAACCAAGAAGCUUGAGGAGCAGCAGGAGAGGCGGCGUGUGCCCUGUCGGCAGUGCUGAAGUAGCACGGAGACACUGGGGCACAGACGGAUGAGAGGCUGUGCCAAGAUCAGCGCUGGCUGGGCCACCAAAACUGCUGCACAGUAAACUGCUAAAAUGAGACCCUGGAUGUACAGAAAUGCAACUUCAACUAAAUGAUGAAUAUUAACUAUGGCAGCAUCCAGAGAGAAUGGAAUUUGUCACAUCAACACUGAUACUGCAGCUAAGCUUCAGUGCUUUAUAUGGGACUGUUUGGUGGAAGAGGAAACUGCAGUACUGAAAGCAGUCGGUGCUUGAAUGCAUGAGACCAUGACCUCUCACAGAAAGCAAAGAAUGUCUUCAGAAACUUAAAGAAAUACAAACUCAGUUAAAUCCUUUCAAGGUUCUUCUUCACAAGGCAACAAUAAACCAGUGUUUCACUUUUC
rnacentral:lncRNA from 1 species